rnacentral:rRNA from 1 species
UCGAACGAUUACUAGUGGGUAGCAAUAUUCGCUAGUGAGAGUGGCGCAAGGGUGCGUAACACGUGGGUAAUUUGCCGUGAAGUCUGGAAUAACUUGCUGAAAGGCGAGCUAAUACCGGAUGUGAUUACUGGGAGGCAUCUUCUGGUACUUAAAGUCGGGGACCGCAAGGCCUGACACUUCUCGAUAAGCCCGCGGCCUAUCAGCUAGUUGGUGAGGUAACGGCUCACCAAGGCUAAGACGGGUAGCUGGUCGGAGAGGACGACCAGCCACACUGGAACUGAGACACGGUCCAGACACCUACGGGUGGCAGCAGUCGAGAAUUUUUCUCAAUGGGGGAAACCCUGAAGGAGCGACGCCGCGUGGGGGAUGAAUGGCUUCGGCCCGUAAACCCCAGUCAUUUGCGAUCAAACCUUACGACCUAACACGUCGUAAGCUGAUAGUAGCGGAAGAGGAAGGGACGGCUAACUCUGUGCCAGCAGCCGCGGUAAUACAGAGGUCCCAAGCGUUGUUCGGAUUCACUGGGCGUAAAGGGUGCGUAGGCGGUCGGGUAAGUCUGACGUGAAAUCUUCAAGCUCAACUUGGAAACUGCGUCGGAUACUAUUCGGCUAGAGGAAUGGAGGGGAGACUGGAAUACUUGGUGUAGCAGUGA